rnacentral:rRNA from 1 species
CCAGACUCCUACGGGAGGCAGCAGUGGGGGAUAUUGCACAAUGGGGGAAACCCUGAUGCAGCGACGCCGCGUGAGGGAAGACGGUUUUCGGAUUGUAAGCCUCUGUCUUUGGGGACGAAUUGAGACGGUACCCAAGGAGGAAGCUCCGGCUAACUACGUGCCAGCAGCCGCGGUAAUACGUAGGGAGCAAGCGUUGUCCGGAAUUACUGGGCGUAAAGGGCGCGUAGGUGGGCGCUUAAGUCAGGUGUGAAAACUCCGGGCUCAACCUGGAGACUGCACUUGAAACUGGGUGUCUUGAGGGCAGGAGAGGAAAGUGGAAUUCCUAGUGUAGCGGUGAAAUGCGUAGAUAUUAGGAGGAACACCAGUGGCGAAGGCGACUUUCUGGACUGUACCUGACGCUGAGGCGCGAAAGCGUGGGUAGCGAACGGGAUUAGAUACCCGUGUAA